CAUUGGGGUGCAAUGUCAGAGCAUGUUCUCUGUGUGCGUGACAAGAUAGAGGCUUGUGUGUCUUUUUCUCUGUUCUGAACGGACUAUUCUGCAGGUUUAUUAGUUUUAUCCAGGCUGAUCAACCUAGAGCAAACUUACUCUCAGUGGCAGCAUUGGCAAAAGGUUAAUAGCCCGUUGGAGGAACGAGUGGACAAAGACGUCCAUCCAGAAGAGAACGAGAGCAAGACAAUACACUAAAUAUGAAGAGAGUGACGGACACUCGCAAGUAGGGAAGCUGUUGACAUGGAACUGCACUUACUGUGUGAGACUGUUAACAAGACGUGAGAAGUUUUGUGUGCCGUGGGUGUGUGAUUCACAGCGGGUGAAAUCAUGUGGAGCAGGGCAGUGAUUCCCAACUUCAGGGCAGACUCGGGAGCGUGCUUCUACAUUUGGCCAGGAGAUGUGCACGGCUCUCCUUCGGGUUCUGGGCACGCUGGUCAGACGAGGGCCAUGGGUGAUGGACGGACAACUCCUACUUGGCACCAUACCAGCCCUGGGAGGAAAAAAAAAGUCACAUGCAUUUUUAUAAUCUAAC